rnacentral:tRNA from 1 species
GAAGUGUGUUGAACAAGAAAAAGCUGCUAACUUUUUACUUUAAUGGUUUAAUUCCAUUUAUACUUCU